CCGCUAUGGAACGGCAUAUUGGCUUGAAAUGACAAGAUUACCAGAUACACAUCCAGCAAUAUUGGGAGAUCUACGUCAGCAAUGGACUGUGCAACGCCAACAGAAUCAUGGAUUUUCCUCAAUCGCGUGUGACAUGACUAUUGAGCAAACAUUAAAUAGAGAUUCGAAAACUACGGGUGGAAUGGUUGGAAUAACAUUGAACCGGGGUGCGGUGCAACGAUGGAUUCUUUCUCAAUCUGAU